rnacentral:lncRNA from 1 species
AUACCUGUUUUUCAUUGUUUGACCCUGCCUGUUAUGACCACGUCUCUGUCUUCUGCUUAAUAAAGCUUUGUGAAUGGAUCCGCAAGUCUCACGUCUCGUCAGCCCCAUAACAGAAUACUCGGCCACACAAGGAUCCAGCGGCUUUUCAAGUGGACAUUGGCCAGGUAUGGACACUGCAAGGCUGUUGUUAGUCCUCGAGCAGGGCACACGCUCGCUCGAGGCGUACAUCCAGGAGUAUCUGGACAUCGCCUAUCACUCUGAUCUACCGGACUGUGUUUUAAUUGAUUUUUUUUGUAGUGGCAUUAACCAACCGCUAAAAUAUAAACUCAUUCACGAGGGUCCCUGUUCAUCACGGAGUUGUUUUUUGAACUUUGCGUUAUGGACUGUAGGCUCUCGAUUCACUGUGGGUAUCGCGGAGGAACGCAACCCCACACUCACUUCUGUAAUGGCCCCCGCACUAGAUUGCGUUCACAAAAUGGCGGCGACAGAGGAGCCUGAUCACAAAAUGGCGGACACAACAGUGCCCCGUCAAGUCACCGCUGAUCUUCACGAGUCAGGUCAAGUCACAGUUCAUUUUCAUGAGUCUAGUCAAGUCACAGCUGAUAGUUAUAAGUCUAGUCAAGUCACAGCUGAUAGUUAUGAGUCUAGUCAAGUCACAGCUGAUAGUUAUGAGUCAAGUCUAGUCACAGCUGAUCUUCCUGAGUCGAGUCUAGUCACAGUUGAUCGUCAUGGGGCAAAUCAAGUCACAGUUUAUGAUCGUGAGUCUAGUCAAGUCACAGCUGAUAGUUAUGAGUCUAGUCAAGUCACAGUUGAUCGUCAUGAGUCAAGUCAAGUUACAAUUCCUUAUCAUGAGUCAAGUCACAGCUGACCUUCCUGAGUUGAGUCUAGUCACAGUUGAUCGUCAUGGGGCAAAUCAAGUCACAGUUUAUGAUCGUGAGUCUAGUCAAGUCACAGCUGAUAGUUAUGAGUCUAGUCAAGUCACAGUUGAUCGUCAUGGGGCAAAUCAAGUCACAGUUUAUGAUCAUGAGUCUAGUCAAGUCACAGNNNNNNNNNNNNNNNNNNNNNNNNNNNNNNNNNNNNNNNNNN